UCCAGACUCCUACGGGAGGCAGCAGUGGGGAAUAUUGGGCAAUGGGCGCAAGCCUGACCCAGCAACGCCGCGUGAAGGAAGAAGGCUUUCGGGUUGUAAACUUCUUUUAUUGAGGACGAAACAAAUGACGGUACUCAAUGAAUAAGCCACGGCUAACUACGUGCCAGCAGCCGCGGUAAUACGUAGGUGGCAAGCGUUGUCCGGAUUUACUGGGUGUAAAGGGCGUGUAGCCGGGCUGACAAGUCAGAUGUGAAAUUCCGGGGCUCAACCCCGGACCUGCAUUUGAAACUGUUGGUCUUGAGUAUCGGAGAGGCAGGCGGAAUUCCUAGUGUAGCGGUGAAAUGCGUAGAUAUUAGGAGGAACACCAGUGGCGAAGGCGGCCUGCUGGACGACAACUGACGGUGAGGCGCGAAAGCGUGGGGAGCAAACAGGAUUAGAUACCCGAGUAC
rnacentral:rRNA from 1 species